UACGUAGGGUGCAAGCGUUAAUCGGAAUUACUGGGCGUAAAGCGUGCGCAGGCGGUUUUUUAAGUCUGACGUGAAAUCCCCGGGCUCAACCUGGGAAUUGCGUUGGAGACUGCAAGGCUGGAGUCUGGCAGAGGGGGGUAGAAUUCCACGUGUAGCAGUGAAAUGCGUAGAGAUGUGGAGGAACACCGAUGGCGAAGGCAGCCCCCUGGGUCAAGACUGACGCUCAUGCACGAAAGCGUGGGGAGCAAACAGG
rnacentral:rRNA from 1 species